UACGUAGGGACCGAGCGUUGUCCGGAAUCAUUGGGCGUAAAGAGCGUGUAGGCGGCCACUUAAGUCCUGCGUGAAAUCUUGCGGCUCAACCGCAAGCGGUCGUGGGAAACUGGGUGGCUAGAGUGCGGGAGAGGAGAGUGGAAUUCCUGGUGUAGCGGUGGAAUGCGCAGAUAUCAGGAGGAACACCGGUGGCGAAGGCGGUUCUCUGGGCAUGUCCUGACGCUGAGGAGCGAAAGUGUGGGGAGCAAACGGG
rnacentral:rRNA from 1 species